rnacentral:rRNA from 1 species
UACCGAGGGGGCAAGCGUUGCUCGGAAUUAUUGGGCGUAAAGAGCUCGUAGGCGGCCUGUUGCGUCCGCUGUGAAAUCCCGGGGCUCAACCCCGGGCCUGCAGUGGAUACGGGCUGGCUAGAGGCAGGCAGGGGAGAACGGAAUUCCUGGUGUAGCGGUGAAAUGCGCAGAUAUCAGGAGGAACACCGGUGGCGAAGGCGGUUCUCUGGGCCUGUACUGACGCUGAGGAGCGAAAGCGUGGGGAGCGAACAGG